UGCCAGGUCGUCUUUACGUCUAAUCAAUUACCUUAACAAAGUUUUUAACACAUGCAUUAAUGAUAUGAUAUCAAACAUUAAGACUCACAUAAAUCACGCAUAUUCUUUAUUUUAUGGUCAGUCUGGACUUUUAUUGUUAUUUUCCUAAAAUUGCUACAAGCACUUAUAGUUUCAACAUAAACGACUCAGCUUCCGUAUACAUGUAGAUGACAAGUGUGGACAUCUCAGGGAUACGUCAAGCAGCUGGAGAGGAAACAUGCGUUUAUACACGCUAUGUGUACUGAUGCUUUUAGUGUCCCUAAUUCGGGCAGUAUAUAUACCACACCCAAGAGACCCUCACCUACUUAUCCCGGUAACGCUUGACACUGAAAGACCACGUGUCAGGAUACAGAAAGUACUGGUAGAAGAACCACCCAACAGAAACCGUCUGCUGGAGCUGUUGUAUUUGAUCUUUGCUGUGCCGCUUCUUUUUACCGGAGCGGGAGGUGGUGUGUUUGGAAACAGAGUUAAUGGUAACGGAAAUGGAAAUGGAGGAGGAGGUAUUGUGACAGAAGACCCAUGCUGCUGAGGAUGUCUACACUUGCAUUUCACAAUUUUAUAUUCGGAUGACGUACAUGGAUACUUUUAGUUAGAUUCAAAAUAAUUGUGCAAGCCAUCUACAAACAUGCCGUUCUGAAGAAAAAAAAACGCCUUAAAUAUAUUGCUUAAUAGAAGACUGGAACAGAUUUUUAUCAGUUUGUUUCUUAUUUAAAACUUGUUUCUUUAUAAACGUGAUUGUUCAUAACAUAUUCUUUUAAACAAUUUGUUGCGUUUACAUGCAUUUUUGUGACAUUAAAGGCACUGUACUGAGUUCUAAACCUUAAUCUUAUUGUGCGAAACUCUUGUAAAAACGUUUCUUUUCGAGUCCCUUUACGUUAAAAAUCUCAGUAGAGUCUAUUUGAUGUAUAAAUUUAGUUAUAUACAUUAGUGCGUCAAGUAAUCAAUUCAAAAUGACUAAUGUAAAGUGUUUUAUUUGUUAUCAAAUUAAAUUUGAU